rnacentral:lncRNA from 1 species
GUAAGAAUAUUUUAUAUUUUAUGUGACCUAUGUAUCUAUUGGUUUAAUAUAAAAUUCAAGUUCAUAUAUUGAUGUUUUUAGAUUCUAAUAUAAAAGAUGAUACCGUGAUGGAUCGGUUUCGAUUAAAGAGUUAGAAUCCGGGUGUAUUGAUAACCCUCCUACUUUACCUUAUAUUCAUAAAUGUCUUUAAUCUCAUAAUUAUAUGCAUAUAUGUUAUAUACAUUAAGUAAUGGUAUAUAAUAUAUAUCAGUAUACGUGUGUUACGGUUAUUAUAAUUGUGAAGAGUUGUGUUGCAACACACAACCCUUUGACUAAUAUAAAAGGCCUCGUGUGCAUUGUCUUUUAUGUAUGUAAGAAAACGAGUCUCUCUAAACACACAAAAACAACAAUACUGAUUAUCAAAAGGAGAGAUUAAGGAAGGUUUGGGAUUUCUUGUCCAUCAAGGAAAUCACCAAAAGGAGAAGGUUAAAGAGGAGAACAUCAAUUGGUGGGGUUGCAUCCAAGCAUGGAUCAAGGUUAGUGUUUCUACCUUCAUUAGAAAUGUGUUAGGGUUGAAUUAAAUCAAAUCUAGAUCAGUUCUUGGUGUAGAUUUCAUAAUUGAAAUCAUAAAAUUAUUUAACAUGUGGUAUCAGAGCCAUCUUAGAUUUAAUUAAUUCACUCACUAGGCAUUUGAAAAAUGUUAAGAACAUUCUCGGUUUAGUUCUCAUGUGCUUGUGAACAUAUACGGUUUCAUUCGUUUUAAAGAGUGUUCAUGAGAUUAGUAUAAUCCAUCGUAAUUAAGCAUACGGCACUUAAACGUAUGGUAUUUGUUAAAGUGUGCGUUGAUGAUCAUGCAUAUGAAUAUGGCAUCGUAAACGAACGUAACGAUACGACACACUCAAUCAAUCUAUGAACGAUUGUUUUAUUAUUAUAAUUACGGAAUCUUACGAUGCCAUAAAGGGCUUUAUAUGUCAGCCACUAAAUUAAACGGGUUGUUGUUGAUCAAGUUACGAAAUGAACGUAGUCAUUCACGUAAUGGAUUUUGCAAUAAAUCAAUUAAAAUCACGAUGUUUCAUGUGUGCAUAAUGGUCGUUUGUUUAAAGGUUCGACAUGAAACCUGGGUUUUACGGUAACAAACGUAAAGGCACAUGCAUGAAAGUUUCCUUAUGACGGUUAUUACCGUAAUAUUGUGAAGAGUCACUAUUACGGUUGUGACUGUAAGACUUUCACCUAAUUAGAAAGGAAAUAUUGGCCCGUUUAAUUGAUUAAUGCAUGAGUUGCAUGCAUGAAAGAGUGCUUUCUGUUAUUCAUUAACAUUUGAUAGCAUACACAUGACUGUUAAGUAAUUCUGUCUAGUAUGCAUAAACAGAAAUCAUUUAUCAAAGUAAAUGCAUAUUUGAAUUAAUA